AUUGAACGCUGGCGGCAGGCCUAACACAUGCAAGUCGAGCGAGCGGCGGACGGGUGAGUAAUGCCUGGAAUUGCCCAGUCGAGGGGGAUAACAGUUGGAAACGACUGCUAAUACCGCAUACGAUUGGUAUGCCCAGGGGGGAUUAGCUAGUUGGUGGGGUAAUGGCUCAACAAGGCGACGAUCACUAGCUGGGCUGAGAGGAUGAACAACCACACUGGAACGUAGACACGUUCCAGACUCCUACGGGAGGCAGCAGUGGGGAAUAUUGUAAAAUGGGGGAAACCCUGAUGCAGCCAUGCCGCGUGAGUGAAGAAGGCCUUCGGGUUGUAAAGCACUUUCAGCGAGGAGGCGUUACUCGCAGAAGAAGCACCGGCUAACUCCGUGCCAGCAGCCGCGGUAAUUC
rnacentral:rRNA from 1 species